AUACGUGUGGUACUUUUCUUCCUUUUCUCCUAGAAUAUCUUUCUUUCCUCUACUCUCACUAAAACUACCAUUUCUCACACUUUUCUUCUUUUUCUUCCAGAUCUUUCUUUCUCUGCUCUCACUAUCUUACAACCAUUGUUGCUGUCAUUCGUUAAUACACCCAGCAAUAUGGCUCAAUUUUGGCUUCUAAAAUGGUUUUCUUCCUGUGUAAUUGUUGUGUACGCCAAGUGUUUGUAUAAUUGCUUUCCUCAAUUCAUUUUUGUUAGGGUUUAGGCUUAUGUAUUAAUGAAUAUUUUGCGCCUAUAAGAGAUAAUCAUUUGGUAUGAACAACAAUUUGCUGGAUUUUUUU